GUUUAGACUGUGCUCUGCUCAUGACUCACACAUGACACAAGGCAGGUCAUUACCCUUCUGUUCUGGCUAAAAGGCUAUAAUAGCAUUUGGCCUCUCCCUGCCUCGUAAUGGUGACUCGGAGGAUUAAUAAGGGAAUGAGCACUAAGCCUUGUGAAUGCGAGCUUUGUUCUCAAGUCAGUUCCCUGAUUAUUCCACAAAGCAGAGGAACAGCAAAUGUCAAGGUUCCCUUUACUCGAGGCUGAAGUCUGAGGUUGCGGGAGGUGCCUCUCCAGGUGUGGCCUGAGCUCUGCGUCUGUGUCACGGUCAUGGGAGGCCCCGAGGACACAUCAAAAAGGUGGGGGUGGAAGGUGGCUGACCACAGACCCUAAAGGCUAAUUCAACUUCGAGGACUGACAGUGUACAACUAGCAAAUACACAAGCCAGGGGCAUCUUCCAGCUGAAACCAGAGCCGGAGGCAUCUGGAUCGCUUUGCCAGAAUGAGGCAGAGAGGGAUGGUCAAGUUGGGAAGAUAACACUAACUGGUUGCACACCAGUGCUGCUGGAGAAUCCUGGGACAUCUCACAGAAGCCAUCAGAGGGUAAGCAUCCCUGCCACAUCAGCCUCCCAGGGGUCAGCUGCAGGCCUAAUGGACCAAGAGUGGUGAGAGUCCUUUUUCUCUUGCUGUGUAAAUUUAGAUUAGCAGAAGAUAAUAUAUGUGGAAUAGUAGCUUGGGCUUAACGAUACCAGUAAAUUUGGUAGAAUAGUCUUGGCUUGACUCACCCAUUUUCUCCCAGAGAUGGUCACAAUUUUUCUUUUGUUGUUCUCUUUUGUACUAUUUGUCAUAAAAAGGAAUUAUCAUCAGGAAAGACUACAGGCAUAAACCCCAUUAGCCUGGUGUUUGAGCCAGCCUCACAAACCGGUGAGUUCAUGGUAAUCAUGUGACUAGCAUCUAUUUAGACAAACUUUGGUGUGGGUCCCCUACGUAAAAGCUGGAUGAGCUUUCUUCUUUCAUCUUGUCCUAUGUCCUAAGUGCUUG
rnacentral:lncRNA from 12 species